rnacentral:rRNA from 1 species
GACGAACGCUGGCGGCGUGCCUAAUACAUGCAAGUCGAGCGGACUUCAUCCUUCGGGGUGAGGUUAGCGGCGGACGGGUGAGUAACACGUAGGCAACCUGCCCUCGAGACUGGGAUAACCUCCGGAAACGGAUGCUAAUACCAGAUACGCGGUCUUCCCUCCUGGGGAGAUCGGGAAAGACGGAGCAAUCUGUUACUCGGGGAUGGGCCUGCGGCGCAUUAGCUAGUUGGUGAGGUAACGGCUCACCAAGGCGACGAUGCGUAGCCGACCUGAGAGGGUGAUCGGCCACACUGGGACUGAGACACGGCCCAGACUCCUACGGGAGGCAGCAGUAGGGAAUCUUCCGCAAUGGACGAAAGUCUGACGGAGCAACGCCGCGUGAGUGAGGAAGGCCCUCGGGUCGUAAAGCUCUGUUGCCAGGGAAGAACGCUUGGGAGAGUAACUGCUCCCAAGGUGACGGACCUGAGAAGAAAGCCCGCA